rnacentral:rRNA from 1 species
GAUUCCCCUAGUAACUGCGAGUGAACCGGGAAAAGCUCAAAUUUAAAAUCUGGUAGUCUUUGGCUAUCCGAGUUGUAAUUUAGAGAAGUGUUAUCCUACGCUGGACCGUGUACAAGUCUCCUGGAAUGGAGCGUCAUAGAGGGUGAGAAUCCCGUCUUUGACACGGACUGCCAGGGUUUUUGUGAUACACUCUCAAAGAGUCGAGUUGUUUGGGAAUGCAGCUCAAAAUGGGUGGUAAAUUCCAUCUAAGCUAAAUAUUGGCGAGAGACCGAUAGCAAACAAGUACCGUGAGGGAAAGAUGAAAAGAACUUUGGAAAGAGAGUUAAAUAGUACGUGAAAUUGCUGAAAGGGAAACGCUUGAAGUCAGUCGCAUUGACCAGAAAUCAACCUUGCUUUUGUUGGGUGUACUUUUUGGUUUAAUGGGUCAGCAUCAAUUUUGACUGUUGGAUAAAGUCAAAGGGAAUGUAGCAUCCUUUUUGGAUGUGUUAUAGCCCUUGGUCAUUACAACAGUUGGGAUUGAGGAACUCAGCACGCCGCAAGGUCGGGUAUUUAUACCACGUCUUCGUGCUUAGGAUGCUGGCAUAAUGGCUUUAAUCGACCCGUCUUGAAACACGGACCAAGGAGUCUAACAUGCUUGCAAGUGUUUUGGGUGGGAAAACCCAUACGGCGUAAUGAAAAGUGAAAAGUUUAAGAUCCCUUGUGGUGGGGAGCAUCGACGCCCGGACUUGACCUUUUGUGAUAGCUCCGCGGUAGAGCAGUAUGUUGGGACCCGAAAGAUGGUGAACUAUGCCUGAAUAGGGUGAAGCCAGAGGAAACUCUGGUGGAGGCUCGUAGCGAUUCUGACGUGCAAAUCGAUCGUCAAAUUUGGGUAUAGGGGCGAAAGACUAAUCGAACCAUCU